rnacentral:tRNA from 1 species
UUCUGAUUAAGUUGGUUGUUCGGCUGUUAACCGAAAUGUUGGAGGUUCGAAUCCUCCCCGGGGAGCCA